GCGCUUGCUUUGGCAGCACAUAUAUUAAAAUUGGAAUGAUAGAAGAUUAGCAUGGCCCCUGUGCAAGGAUGACACACAAAUUUGUGAAGCCUUCCAUAUUGUU